rnacentral:rRNA from 1 species
GACGAACGCUGGCGGCGUGCCUAAUACAUGCAAGUCGAACGCAGUGGGGACGGGUGAGUAACACGUGGGUAACCUCACAUCAGGGGGGGUAACACUUGACAACAGGUGCUAAACCGAUACUGAUAGAUGGACCCGCGGUGCACUAGCUAGUUGGCGAGGUAACGGCGCACCAAGGCCACGAUCCAUAGCCGACCUGAGAGGGUGAUCGGCCACACUGGAACUGGGACACGGCCCAGACUCCUACGGGAGGCAGCAGUAGGGAAUCUUCGGCAAUGGACGAAAGUCUGACCGAGCAACGCCGCGUGAGUGAAGAAGGUUUUCGGAUCGUAAAACUCUGUUGUUAGAGAAGCGUUAUCUAACCAGAAAGCCCCGGCUAACUACGUGCCAGCAGCCGCGGUAAUAC